UUAACUCAACCUCAACUACCCCUCCUCUAACUCUCUCUCUCUGUCUCUGUCUCUCUCUCUCUCACUCACGGCAUCUCCUCUGACUCUCUCUCUCACGAUCCAAGAAGAAAAGAAAGAAGAAAGCAGUCUCUAACACUCUCUCUCUCGGCGGCUCCGACGCCUUCGACAUAGCUUUUUUUCGAUGUCAGAAAAAAGAACUUGGUAGAGAAGUGACUGAUCUUGAGUUAUUUCGAAGAUGCCAUAGAAAGAACAAAGGAAUUGGAGAGUUCAUCGACAACAAAUUCAAAAGAAUUAGUUCUUCAUUCGAUAUCUCAACUUGGUAUGAUAUCACUGGAGGUCCUUCUAAAGGACGCUUAUAUGGAUUUGGAUGUAGCUCCUCAUCUACAAGUUCAAGUUCAGUCAGUUCUACUCUUAAUGCAUCAGACCAGAAGAUUAAUGAGUUAACAAAAGCCAUGGAGGACAUGCGCUCUAAUGCUACAAAAAUGAAAGAAGAACUUUCAAGACGAGAAGAAGAAAAUAGAAAAUUGCUUGAAAUUUCUCUUGAACAAGCUCAAAAGAGGGAGGAAGAGGCUCGGAAGAGAGAGGCAAACCUACAGGAAUUAGUUUGAAAAUUACUUCAAGAUGUGGGAUACACAAACCAUCAAUUUGCUGGUGGGUCUGGACAGUAGGAGCAACAACAUUCCAGGAAAGAUAAUUAGUUUAUUUUUUUCUGUUGGUUGUUUAUAACCUAGUUUAUAUUAGUGUUGUUGUAUUAUGAGUAUCUUUUUUGUUAAUAUUUAUUGUUCUUGUUUGGAAAAUUUAGAUUUUGGUAUUGAUGGAAUGUAUGUGAUGUUAUGAUGACCAAGAUAUUAAUUUGGGUACAGAAAUUAAAAAAUCUGCCCAAAAAAAACCAAACAUGACUAAAGACGGAUUAGAGACGGAAAAUUUUAAAAGUUUAGAGGCCGAAUUAGAGACGGAUUAGAGGCGGAAAUUUUUACGGUUUUAGAGACGGAUUAAAGACGGAAUAUUUUCUGCAUUUCAGGGAUGGGAUUAGAGACGGAAUCAACAAACAAAUUGCUCUUGAAAAAGCUCGAAAGAGGCUCGGAAGAGGGAGGCAGACCUACAAUAAUUAAUUCAAAAAUUACUUUAAGAUGUGUGAUACACAAACUAUCAAUUUGCUGGUGGGUAUAGAUAGCAGGAGCAACAACAUUUCAUGAAAGAUAAUUAGUUUAUUUUUUCUAUUGGUUGUUUAUGACUUAGUUUGUAUUAGUGUUGUUGUAUUAUGAGCAUCUUUUUUGUUAAUAUUUAUUGUUCUUGUUUGGAAAAUUCAGAUUUUG